rnacentral:misc_RNA from 1 species
AGCAGCCGCGGUAAUUCCAGCUCCAAUAGCGUAUAUUAAAGUUGUUGCAGUUAAAAGCUCGUAGUUGAAUUUCGGGACUAAUAUGUCGGUCGUGCCUCGGUACGUACUGGUUUAUUGGUUUCUCCUUUCUGAAGAACCAUGAUGUCAUUUAUUUGGUGUCGUGGGGAAUCAGGACUGUUACUUUGAAAAAUUAGAGUGUUUAAAGCAGGCUCACGCUUGAAUACAUUAGCAUGGAAUAAUGAAAUAGGACGUUUGAUUCUAUUUUGUUGGUUUCUAGGAUCGACGUAAUGAUUAAUAGGGAUAGUUGGGGGCAUUAGUAUUCAAUUGUCAGAGGUGAAAUUCUUGGAUUUAUUGAAGACUAACUACUGCGAAAGCAUUUGCCAGGAUGUUUUCAUUAAUCAAGAACGAAAGUUAGGGAUCGAAGACGAUCAGAUACCGUCGUAGUCUUAACCAUAAACUAUGCCGACUAGGGAUCGGAUGAUGUUAAUUUUUAAUGACUCAUUCGGCGCCUUACGGGAAA